AUGUUAACAUUAUGCAAUCAUCUUCUGUUCUAUCAUGGUUCUUUAAAUGCAAAUAAUGAUAUAUUAUUCCAGCAAUGCAACCAAACUUGUGCACCGAGUCCCUCGGACUCUCUUAUCAACUAUGAUCAUCUCUGGAUCACAAACACACCACCAAAGUGGUCUUUCUCAAGAACAACUCGUGAUCCUUACGGCGAUCACAACCACUUAUCUCAUCAUCAAAAUAUCAUCGUGACUCCUCACGACUAUCUCAUAGUUCAAGUUACCAUAUUCUUGUUAUCACAUAUUUAUUUACCAACUUAA
rnacentral:rRNA from 1 species